rnacentral:tRNA from 1 species
GGGACGGUAGAAGAGCCUGGUAUUCUUCCUCUCACCGAGAAUGAGAACACGCAGGUUCGAAUCCUGCCCGUCCCA